UAAUUUUCCCCACAAAGGGGAUGGGAGAAAAUCAUGGAGUUUACUGUUUAGGGCCUUUUCCUUUUACUGGCAAAUGGGAGCCACCCUGUGAUCGAUCGGGAAACUGAUUCGUCUGGAAGGCCCUUCACCAUAUUCUCACUCGAUCGAUCCAUUCCGACCGUCAAUGGCGGAUUCCGGCAAAUGAUAGGUCCAAUUCUGUCAAACUGCCAUCUUUCAUCCCAAUUCAAUCCUGGGUUAUUUUCCCUUGUAUGAGUCCAAGCGCAAAACAAAACCCGAUCUUCUUACUCAGUUACUCCUCGCGAGCCGAUGAGCUCCGCGGAUCCCCCCAGCGGAGUUCUUCCAUCCGAUGUCAUCCUCCUAAUCCUCGCGAGACUCCCUGUUAAGUCUCUUUUCCGCUUCAAAACCGUUUGUAGAUCAUGGUACAGGCUCACUUCAGAGAAGCACUUCAUCAUGCUAUACUCGUUGACCUCCUUGCAUAAGCCCAUCGUACUCUUGGAAGUGAUGGAGCCUGCGAAUCCCAUCCCCAGUUUUCUCAGCGUCGACAGAUUCGAUGCCGCUUCGUGCUUCUCGUUGAAUUUCUUGGAAGAUAGAGUCAAGGUGAGAGCUUCAUGCAAUGGCCUCUUGUGCUGCUCAAGUAUUCCCAACCGAGGAGUCUUCUAUGUCUGCAAUCCGAUGACAAAAGAAUUCAGGUUGCUACCAAGAACCAGAGAAAGGCCCUUUUCACGGUUCCACCCUGACUACGAGGAGACCCUCGUAGGGUUGUCUUUUGAUACAUGUUCAUGGAAGUUCAAUGUAGCCGUUGCGGGAUUUUGCAGGCCAUUUGGCCGGAGGCCGUAUGAGGAACUUGUUUGUAUGGUGUUUGACUCAGAGACUAACUCCUGGACUAGGUUUGUUUCAUCUUUUUAUGAUGAAUUUACCCACAUGAAUAGAAAUCAAGUUGUUUUCUCCAACAAUUCACUGCAUUGGCUUACACACAGCUGCUCUUAUGUGCUCGUGCUUGAUUUGAGGAGUAAUGUUUGGAGGAAGAUUUCAUUGCCUGAGGAGAUAGUGGCUGUUGGGUUUUGCGGGAGGAUUUAUCUUCUGGAAUUGGAGGGCACUGUCUCUUUGAUUCAGAUAUUAGGUGUGUGGUUGUAUAUAUGGGCUCUGAAGGACUAUGACAGAGAGCAUUGGGUUCUGAUUGAUAGAGUGCAUCUCAGGUGCAUCUUGGGGUUUGCGGCAAGUGCUUUUCCUGUAUGCUUAAGUAGUGAUGUAGUGUUCUUAGCCACACAAAGGAAAAUUUUGACAUAUGGUAGAAAGAAUAAGGUGUGGAAGGAGGUUUUUUCUGUUGGAGACAAUGUAGCUUAUCCUUUGUGGUUCUCAGCACAUCCUUUCAGAAGCACUCUAUUUCCUUGUGACCAAGGUGUGCAGUUCUAAUUCAGUGCUUUUUAUAGCCGUUGCUUUUCAAAAACCUGUCAUACCCCCUUUAUUUUUGUGGGAGAAGCUCAACAGAAAUCCAUACACUGGAAACAAUGUAACAUAUGCCUUGUGGCUUUCAGCACAUCCUUUUAUGAACACUUUAUUUCCCUUGUUGCACUCUCUUCUUAGCUUGGCACAAUGGAAAAUACACUUGGUAGCAAGUGCGCCCAUAUCUUUCAGAGUACCUGUCAUUUUCCUUUGUACAGCACAACAAAUCAUGGCCAAAUGAAGACUUAGUGUUGGACUUUCGCAAGCGUUUUCAUGAAUGGCACUGUGACCUAUUUGUUCAAAAAUAAUACUUGUAGAUGUGUACCCGAGGCUAUUGUGCUUUGUCACUUCGCUGAAUGCUACAUCAUAGAUGAUUUCUGAAGAUGUGAGUGUGUUUUGUUUAUUUGAGUGGUUGGGGCCCAAAGCAGAUGGAAAGGAUCGAUUAAUUUGCCAUUGUGAACAAUAUCUCCUUUUGCAGAGGUAUUGUUGUUGUACACUAUAAACCUCUUAUUGCUUAUUUUUUCCAUUCUUCCUUAAAUGUCUUUUUGGCAUAAUUGUUGAUUUUCAAUCUAUUAUUUGAAAGAGAAA